ACUGCUCAGUAACACGUGGACAACCUGCCCUUAGGACGGGGAUAAACCCGGGAAACUGGGUAUAAUACCCGAUAGGUCUCGAUUGCUGGAAUGCAUCGAGAUUUAAAGCUCCGGCGCCUAAGGAUGGGUCUGCGGCCUAUCAGGUAGUAGUGGGUGUAGCGUACCUACUAGCCUACGACGGGUACGGGUUGUGAGAGCAAGAGCCCGGAGAUGGAUUCUGAGACACGAAUCCAGGCCCUACGGGGUGCAGCAGGCGCGAAAACUUUACAAUGCUGGCAACAGCGAUAAGGGAACCUCGAGUGCCAGGUUACAAAUCUGGCUGUCGAGAUGCCUAAAAAGCAUUUCAUAGCAAGGGCCGGGCAAGACCGGUGCCAGCCGCCGCGGUAACACCGGCGGCUCGAGUGGUAACCGUUAUUAUUGGGUCUAAAGGGUCUGUAGCCGGCCGGAUAAGUCUCUUGAGAAAUCUGGCAGCUUAACUGUCAGGCUUUCAGGAGAUACUGUCUGGCUCGAGGCCGGGAGAGGUGAGAGGUACUUCAGGGGUAGGGGUGAAAUCUUGUAAUCCUUGAAGGACCACCAGUGGCGAAGGCGUCUCACCAGAACGGACCUGACGGCAAGGGACGAAAGCUAGGGGCACGAACCGGAUUAGAUACCCGGGUAGUCCUAGCCGUAAACGAUACUCGCUAGGUGUCGGCCACGGUGCGACCGUUGUCGGUGCCGUAGGGAAGCCGUGAAGCGAGCCACCUGGGAAGUACGGCCGCAAGGCUGAAACUUAAAGGAAUUGGCGGGGGAGCACCACAACGGGUGGAGCUUGCGGUUUAAUUGGAUUCAACGCCGGAAAUCUUACCGGGACCGACAGCAAUAUGAAGGCCAGGCUGAAGACUUUGCCGGAUUAGCUGAGAGGUGGUGCAUGGCCGUCGUCAGUUCGUACUGUGAAGCAUCCUGUUAAGUCAGGCAACGAGCGAGACCCCCGCC
rnacentral:rRNA from 1 species